CCAAGUGCACUAAACCAUGUCCCUCAGUGCCACAGCUACAUGUCUGUUAAAUACUUUCAGGAACAGUGACUCCACUACUUCCUUAGACAGCCUGUUCCAGUGCUUGACAAUUCCUUUGGUGAACAAAUUUUUCCAAGUAUUAGGGGAAAAGAUCCUUUUCCCCCUCUGGGACAGGAUAAGGGAGAACACUGCCUGUGGUCCAGAUCCCUUAACCAGUUGUCCCAAAGCUCUGAUGUGUCUCCUGAUUGCCUUUGGACUUCCUGGUGCAACUUUGUUUCUGCCUACCUGAAAAUUAAUAGUGGAGAACAAUCUGAGGGUGCUACAUGAACAAGUCAUGAUAUAGUCCCUGUUCCUGCAGACUCCAAUGCAGUGCCACAGUGACCUGGAAGCAGAAGAUAAAGGACAGUACCAAUGGGGAGAAUGUGCAAAUUGAUGUGCCUAGCAAAAAAAACCACAUUCUUCAGAGCAGGAAAAGAUUUGCUUUUCAGGAGAAAACUGUACAAUGUGAAAAUGCUCAUGGUCUAUACAGACAUCAUGUUUUUAUUUAAGGAUGGGUGAAGUGCUUAUGAAAUGAGACAAAUAAAAAGCCUGAGAAAUUUCAGUUUUUUCCAUCAAGAGAACAAAUAUAUCAGGUUGUUCCACAGUGACCUGUCAAGCCUAAAUUUAAAAGGGAAGAAGAGGACAGUUCAGGCUCUGUACCCAUUGCAGCAUGCUCUCUGUGUUCCCACUUCCAUCAACAUCAUGAUCCUCAC